rnacentral:rRNA from 1 species
UACGUAGGGGGCAAGCGUUGUCCGGAAUUAUUGGGCGUAAAGCGCGCGCAGGCGGUCUUUUAAGUCAGGUGUUUAAGCCCGGGGCUCAACCCCGGUUCGCACCUGAAACUGGGAGGCUUGAGUGCAGGAGAGGAAAGUGGAAUUCCACGUGUAGCGGUGAAAUGCGUAGAGAUGUGGAGGAACACCAGUGGCGAAGGCGACUUUCUGGCCUGUAACUGACGCUGAGGCGCGACAGCGUGGGGAGCUAUCGGG